GUCGACGAGAUCUUGUGCAAUGUGCAUCACCUCAAUCUGCAUGUUAGGUUCCUUAUCAUUACUAAUAAAUAAAUAAAUAAAAACAAUAGUACAUAGUCGCACAGAACAAACUUGAUUCACAAGCUUGAGAAAGAAAAAGACAGACUGCAAAACUGGAAAGAAAACCUUAACACAUAUACAUAUGGCUUGUUAUGAACGAUCUUCUUAUACUUUCUUUGGAUCUGGCGACUAGUUGAUCUAUCUGAGAAACAGAAUAAAGCAUAUUAACUAUUAAAAUGAAAAGGUGAAAGAACUAACAAAAGGUCACAAUUCUAGAUUAACUUUGGCGUGAAGAGUAAAGUGUUAGUUAAGCAGGUAAAGACUAAGAAUGUUGAAGCUUUG
rnacentral:lncRNA from 1 species